AUGGAAGAGGCUCCCAGAUAAUUGGUACUUAAUCUUGUCUCCUGAGAUAGUGGCCUUUUUGGUUAAGUCAUUAGUGACUUCGAUAGAGAUUCUAGCCAGUGGCAGCUGAAUCCAUCAGGAGCUUAUGGUCUUGAACAAAAUGAACCUGGAAGGAGAGAAAACAGAGCGGUGAGUGGCAUCCCUCUGAACGAAGAACAGCACCAAAACAAGAAGCUGUGUCUUGAAAACCACUAAGAAGGCCUGUCUACGUGGGAGUGAAGGACUCAAGAAUUUUUUUUAUUGCACUUCUAAAAUUCAGCCUUGUUAACGCAGAAAAUAAGGAUGGAUUUUGCAAAUAAUUGAAAAGUUUUUUUAAGGACAUUAAUUUAUUUCUAGGAUAUGAAUGAUGUUAAUGAAAAUAUUUUUAGAUUUC